ensembl:lncRNA
UAUAUAUGUACAAAUUAUUUUGUUUUCUGCAUUUCACUUCUGCUCUAGCUUGCUUCCUUUAAAAUAAACUUGCCUGUAUACUACAUAUUGGCUCUGUGAUAAAUGGCAUGUUAUGUUUCUAUAUUCUUCUACGAUGAUGGCAGUUCAGCAGAGUUGGAGCAGACCUCCUGUCGGACAACAUCUCUAAGGCGCUAUGAACCAUAUGACUGGAUCUUGUGAGAAGUACUUCAUCUGGUUUUGUAAAUAAAUACUUUUGCAUUUCAUCUUCACCUCCCGAGUCUUUCUGGUAGAAAUGGGAACGUCAGCGCAGAUACUGCCGCGAAGUUUCCCCUCCAUCCUCUCCACCACCACCAGGUUGGCUCUGUCCAUGCGGGGGUAUGCUCUGCUCUUAGUCUUUGGCAGGAAUAGCUGAAAUCUACAACGUCUGAUUCAAGCUACAGAUGGGGCCUACGCCAAAAUAAUUUUGUUCUUUUUGUAUUGGUUUUGUAAAUAAAUUCUUUUGCAUUUUAUCUUCACCUCCUGAGUCUUUCUGGUAGAAAUGUAAAAUUCUUUUAAAAGAAAAAUAAAAAACAGCAAAUCGGCAUAUUAAAAUGAUUUCUGAAGGAUUAUAUGACACUGAAGACUGGAGUAAUGAUACUGAAAAUUCAGCUUUUUAUCACAGGAAUAAAUUGCAAUUUACAGCAUAUUAAAAUAGACAACAGUUCUUUCCAUUUGUAAUGAUAUUUUACAAUAUUAAUAUUUUCUCUAUUAUUGAUUAAAAGAAUGAAGACUUUGUGAGCAGAAAAUAUUUUUGUUUGUUUGUUUUUAAAAACAAUGUAAUGUUUCCAAAAUUUUGACAGGUACUGUAUAACAUUGUUACCAUUGUUGCCUAUUGCUUAAAUACCAUUAAUUGGAUGCAUUUGUGGCCCAGGAUGCUGGGAUAGUCUUCAGCCCCCACGACCCUAGAGAGGAUAAGUGGUUUGGAGAGUGAAUAGGUGGAUGGAUGAACUUCCAAAAUUCUUUGACUUGCUUUGAUUUUGUUUCUUUUCUUACUGCUGUUCAGCUUAAAACUACCUUUCCAUUAUCUUUGUUUGUCAUUUUGCAUCAAUAUGUGCUAAACCUAUGAAAAUUAAGAAACAAAUGAAAGUGUCUUUUUUUGUUGUUGUUUUUUGUUACAG